CACGGCUCUGAGGGAAGCUUUUCCCCUGAAAAGGAAAGAGUUAAUCCAAGAACUGGUCGAUGCAAGCAGGUACAAGUUGGACAGCACUGAAGACCUCACUGACUACAUAUCUUUAUUCAAAAAGAUAAAAUGAUGGGAAUGCUGAACCUUUUGUUGCCAAGCUCAGGAGCCAGUAUGUCAGGGAGAAGCAGGAGUAUCUGAGACAGCUGAAGAACAAGCUGGGAAAUUUAAUGGAGGUGAAGGCAGAUGAUUUGAAGACCACCUUCUGCAUGAUCAGUCCUGGUAUUGAUGAUCAAAUGCUGGACACAUACAUUGGCCUGGCUUAUCGGGUCCAAAGAGAUCAGCCAGCCCAAGAAGUCGUGCCUGUGGAAACUGCCCGUGAGAAAUUGAUUGCUGAAGAUGUGAGACAAGUAGGGCCCUCACCCAGGGUGGGAAGUGCAACAGGCUUCGAA